GCGAGGCGCUAGGGGUGCCAUAUGGCUGAGAGGCAGAGGAUGCUAACCCUUUCACCCGAUCUGGGUAAUACCAGCGUGGGGAAGUGCCGCAGACUUAGC
rnacentral:ncRNA from 2 species